rnacentral:rRNA from 1 species
UACGGGGGGAGCAAGCGUUGUUCGGAUUUACUGGGCGUAAAGGGCGCGUAGGCGGCCACCGCAAGUCGACUGUGAAAUCUCCGGGCUUAACCCGGAAAGGUCAGCCGAUACUGCGGGGCUAGAGUGCAGAAGGGGCAACUGGAAUUCUCGGUGUAGCGGUGAAAUGCGUAGAUAUCGAGAGGAACACCUGCGGCGAAGGCGGGUUGCUGGGCUGUAACUGACGCUGAGGCGCGAAAGCGUGGGGAGCAAACAGG